rnacentral:rRNA from 1 species
AGCGGCAGACGGGAGAGUAACACGUGGGAACGUGCCCUUCAGUUUCGGAACAACCCAGGGAAACUUGGGCUAAUACCGGAUACGUCCGUAAGGAGAAAGAUUUAUCGCUGAAGGAUCGGCCCGCGUCUGAUUAGCUAGUUGGUGAGGUAACGGCUCACCAAGGCGACGAUCAGUAGCUGGUCUGAGAGGAUGAUCAGCCUCACUGGGACUGAGACACGGCCCAGACUCCUACGGGAGGCAGCAGUGGGGAAUAUUGGACAAUGGGCGCAAGCCUGAUCCAGCCAUGCCGCGUGGGUGAUGAAGGCCCUAGGGUUGUAAAGCCCUUUCGGCGGGGAAGAUAAUGACGGUACCCGCAGAAGAAGCCCCGGCUAACUUCGUGCCAGCAGCCGCGGUAAUACGAAGGGGGCUAGCGUUGCUCGGAAUCACUGGGCGUAAAGCGCACGUAGGCGGCUUUUUAAGUCAGGGGUGAAAUCCUGGAGCUCAACUCCAGAACUGCCCUUGA